rnacentral:rRNA from 1 species
UGGUGAGGUAAUGGCUCNCCAAGGCGNCGAUCCGUAACUGGUCUGAGAGGAUGAUCAAGUCACACUGGAACUGAGACACGGUCCAGACUUCCUACKGGAGGCAGCAGUGGGGAAUAUUGGACAAUGGGCGAAAGCCUGAUCCAGCCAUGCCGCGUGUGUGAAGAAGGUCUUCGGAUUGUAAAGCACUUUAAGUUGGGAGGAAGGGCAGUUACCUAAUACGUAAUUGUUUUGACGUUACCGACAGAAUAAGCACCGGCUAACUCUGUGCCAGCAGCCGCGGUAAUACAGAGGGUGCAAGCGUUAAUCGGAAUUACUGGGCGUAAAGCGCGCGUAGGUGGUUUGUUAAGUUGAAUGUGAAAUCCCCGGGCUCAWCCUGGGAACUGCAUCCAAAACUGGCAAGCUAGAGUAUGGUAGAGGGUGGUGGAAUUUCCUGUGUAGCGGUGAAAUGCGUAGAUAUAGGAAGGAACACCAGUGGCGAAGGCGACCACCUGGACUGAUA